GACGAACGCUGGCGGCGUGCUUAACACAUGCAAGUCGAACGGAAAGGCCCUGCUUUUGUGGGGUGCUCGAGUGGCGAACGGGUGAGUAACACGUGAGUAACCUGCCCUUGACUUUGGGAUAACUUCAGGAAACUGGGGCUAAUACCGGAUAGGAGCUCCUGCUGCAUGGUGGGGGUUGGAAAGUUUCGGCGGUUGGGGAUGGACUCGCGGCUUAUCAGCUUGUUGGUGGGGUAGUGGCUUACCAAGGCUUUGACGGGUAGCCGGCCUGAGAGGGUGACCGGCCACAUUGGGACUGAGAUACGGCCCAGACUCCUACGGGAGGCAGCAGUGGGGAAUAUUGAACAAUGGGCGGAAGCAUGAUGCAGCAAAGCAGCGUGCGGGAUGACGGCCUUCGGGUUGUAAACCGCUUUAGCCUGUGACGAAGCGUGAGUGACGGUAAUGGGUAAAGAAGCACCGGCUAACUACGUG
rnacentral:rRNA from 1 species